CAUGGCUUUUUGACUGAGUUAUCUAUAUAGUAUAGUAUAUCUAUCCUAUCGACUGCUAUUUUCAUUUAAAAAAAGACUGUAUACUAGCCUAGCGCUUAACUUCUUACUGAUCUCUUACUACUGAUGACUACUCUUAGCAUAGUGAUGCACUCAUUUGUAAGUCGCUCUGGGUAAGAGCAUAUGCUAAAUGAUGUAAUGUAAUGUAUACGAUACUGGAAGCCGGCUUUAAGACAGUUAUAGUGCCUAUCUAUGAUAUUGUAUUGGGAGGUGUUUUAAUAGGACAAUCCCUUUCUUAAAGUAAUUUAAACCUUAACCAAUUAAGUAACUGCAACUUGUGUGCAUAACAUUCACAUAUUGUAGCUGAUGACAGGGGGUAUAUAGAAAGACUGGGGGUAAAAUUAUCAGACAUUCUGCGCGGCGUAUCUGCGGGACUGUAAGUCAUACUCAUAUAUUUAAGUAUUAUAAACUUAUUGUGAAAAUCACAUUUUAUUAAUAUAUAAUGUUUGAAUGUUUGUCGGGAUUUCCUCUUCAAACGAGCUAAAAGUGCCGUCAUGCAUGUUGAAAGCAAGAGGAAGAUGAAUUCCUUCGGCCACCAGAGACCGUGUGUGAUACAGUACACAGCGCGGAAGUCCAGAUGAGCCGUUUAUCAGAGAACCAUGCGGGCGGCUGACACAGGAAUUUGGACACACAGAACAUGCGGCGGGGCAGAAGGACGGGAGAUGGGAGGGGAGCGAAACCUUUGAAAAAAACACCGUGCGUCUCCCGCAGGCAGCCAGGCACAAUGCUGGCCAGGGUACAUCACUUCCUGUGCCUCCAAAGUACAGCUGCCUUUUAACUUCGCUGCUCGUAUGCGCACGGUCGGGAGAAACAAGAAACAUCGGAAUCAAGGUCCAAAAAGAAGGAGAUCAACAAAGGGCCGGGAUCCUGUAGGUGGUCCGAUCCAGACGGACCAGGAGAGAACGCAACCAGGCCCCUUUCUUACCAACCCCUUCUGAGGGCAGAGCGACCCCGCCCACCAGGGGGAGGAGACUAGAGGAGACAGCAGCUGUAUAACACUCUCACCCCUCCUCUCUCUGUGCACUGCACACUAAACCCUCACACACUCACGCACUCACUCAC